GACGAACGCUGGCGGCGUGCUUAACACAUGCAAGUCGAACGGAAAGGCCCUGCUUUUGUGGGGUGCUCGAGUGGCGAACGGGUGAGUAACACGUGAGUAACCUGCCCUUGACUUUGGGAUAACUUCAGGAAACUGGGGCUAAUACCGGAUAGGAUCUCCUGCUGCAUGGUGGGGGUUGGAAAGUUUCGGCGGUUGGGGAUGGACUGGCGGCUUAUCAGCUUGUUGGUGGGGUAGUGGCUUACCAAGGCUUUGACGGGUAGCCGGCCUGUGAGGGUGACCGGCCACAUUGGGACUGAGAUACGGCCCAGAAUCCUACGGGAGGCAGCAGUGGGGAAUAUUGCACAAUGGGCGGAAGCCUGAUGCAGCGACGCCGCGUGCGUGAUGACGGCCUUCGGGUGGUAAACCGCUUUCGCCUGUGACGAAGCGUGAGUGACGGUAAUGGGUAAAGAAGCACCGGCUAACUACGUG
rnacentral:rRNA from 1 species